rnacentral:snoRNA from 1 species
GAAGAAGCAAAGUGAUGAGCAAUACUUGCAUGAGCCGAAGUGAGCGAGCUGUGUGCGUGUGCAGUUGUAUGAGGGUUGUUUGUGAGAGUUGUGUGCCUUGUAAUUGGGCAGUGAUAGCUAAACUGAUAAGAUCUGAUUGCUUC